GCGCUUUCAGUCCACCGCUUCCUCGACCACAAGUGCAGCCAAUAUGGUGCCAACAAGCCAGUGUUUUGUGUUUGUGGUCAUUGGGGCUCUGUUCAAAGUGGGACUCAUGACUAAAGACAGUUCUAUUCCUGUCACUGAGAUUCCAGGCCGAAGACAACACCCUUAGAACACAGCGGUAUGUGGAAGAUAUUCUAGACUCAUUUUGUUGACCUUCAUGGCAAGCCAUCCAGAGCUUACAUUUCAGCAAGACAGUGGCUGCCCAUAUAGGGAAAGAGUUUUUAUGCUCGUGUUCCUGCUUGCCAAACCCUACCUCAGCCAGAAAGGUCACCGGAUGUCUGCACAAUUGUGAAUGUUUGGAGUACUGUGGGCAGGGCCUCCGACCAGCUCAGGGUUUUGGUGAUAUAACGUGCCUGUUGGCAAAAUUUGGCACAUACGUAUUUUAUAUAGACAAGGACGUACACAGGUUAUGAAAAACACAAGUGAGUAAAGUGGUAUUUUGCCUGGUUGAGGAGCGUCAGGCAGCAGUGCAGACACAAAGUGGAGGAAUUUAUCUAAUGCCAGUCCAAAGUAUUAUGCUGAGUGCAAUUGUUAUCUCAAGGAGCCUCACUGCCAUGACAUACCCAAGAGGACACAAAUCACUGUCGUCGCCAAGUGGGUCUUCUUGAAGCUCAUAUCCCUAAGAGCUUUGGCUGUGUGUGGUGACCAGAUACUGUGCCAGUUGACAGCGACCAAUGUCACGCCGAUCUGCUGGGCAGCGGUGAAGGUGGAUCUCAGCCACAUGAUAUAACUGCUUGCAUAAGAGCCAGAGGUGGACUAACAUGUUAUUUGACUUGCUCAAUUUGUGAAGCUCUUUCUCUCAAAUAAAGCACUGAAUUUUUCUGAAAUUGUAA